rnacentral:lncRNA from 1 species
AGGUAUUUUCCAGGCCUAUUCUUAGGAACAUGGGUAUAGAAGCAUUUUUUUCUUCUUGUUCUUUUUGUGAUGCAAAGUCCCAGGACAUGUGUGAAAAGUUGGUGGCCUUGUGGAGUAAAGCAGUACAGGCACUAAAAAGCAAGUUUGGAGGUGUGGAGCUGAGGUUUGCUGGCUGAGUUCCUUUCUCUUGUUGAAAUAGUUCUGCAUCUUUAAUCAGACAAAAUCCCCCUUUUCACGAAUGCUCUCAGACCCCAAAUCUGUCUUCUGCUGCUAAAGCAGAGCUUUUUUGUGAUCCUGACAGACUACAAAAUGAAACAUGACCUGUUAUGAGUGACAGGGUUUCACUUACAAGUGACUGUAUUUGGGGAAAAAAAGAAAAGGAAAAAAAAAAAAAAAAGAGGGGCUUAAAAAAAAACUAAUGCAACCAAUAAUUAAUACAGGGAUUGAGCUUGCCUGAGGUUAACACGAGAGGCCCAGAGCUUAGGGGAGAUAAAAGAGGAUUAGAUGCUUCACUUGUAAGAACAGCAUCCAUCAGCUCCAGCAGAUAAGAUAAUUAGUUACAAGGGCCGUCAAGCCUUUUGCCGGCAGCAUUAGCAGCCCUGACUGGCAGCUGAGUCAGGUUGUUGCCACGCAGCCACAAGCAGAGCACAAUUAGUGAGAUGCAGGGCUGCCUUCCUUGGAACUGAGCUGGUGGCUGCGGCUGGGUGCCCGGACCUGGGAGGGUUUGCAAAGAAGGAAAACAUCUUGCUGUGCUGGAUCAAUCAUUUCACCGCGCCGUGCCCUGGCUCCUAAGACCAUUUCUCUCCCUGGCCAGCUGCCUCCACAUGUGGGUUCGGUUGCAUCAGCCCCUAUACCCGCUCAGCAGUUAGUGGGCCAAAUUCUGUCUGUUCUUGGAUUCAGGGACAAUCUCAGUCGAGUUGCAGAGGUAAAAACGAAGCUAGAACAGGGCCUCCUUUCCUAUUCUCCUUCCCUCCUUGGAGAAGCAGAAGAUUAAUGGGAGUUUGCUUUGCCUGGUGUUUUCUGUCUGAGAAAAGUGGUUCACCUUCUGGGACAGUCAGCCCACGAUGGUUCAGGUCAGCACAACUCUGCCAAUGCUUCCUUGUUGUCCAGAAAAGCUUAUUUUGAGCAU